rfam:Strigomonas culicis Cont1235, whole genome shotgun sequence.
GCCCAGAUGGCGGAAUUGGUAGACGCGCAUGGUUCAGGUCUAUGUGUCUUUAUUGAUGUGGAGGUUCAAAUCCUCUUCUGGGCA